UACGUAGGGACCAAGCGUUGUCCGGAAUCAUUGGGCGUAAAGAGCGUGUAGGCGGCUUGUUAAGUCUUGCGUGAAAUCUCGGGGCUCAACCCCGAGCGGUCGUGAGAAACUGGCAGGCUAGAGUGCGGGAGAGGAUAGCGGAAUUCCCAGUGUAGAGGUGAAAUUCGUAGAGAUCCGGAGGAAGACCGGUGGCGAAGGCGGCCUGCUGGGCAGUUACUGACACUGAUGCGCGACAGCGUGGGGAGCAAACAGG
rnacentral:rRNA from 1 species